rnacentral:lncRNA from 1 species
AAUUAUGAGAUUUGCAGUGCCGAACAUCUGAAAAGGCCAUGCUUAAGACAACGUCAAUUUCAAUUUUUCCAUUUGCCUGUUCCUAGCAGCGUCUCAUGUAUGAACAUUCAGAUAUCACCGCGAAGCUCUCUUAGGCAUGCUUGCGAGAGAAACACCACUUUCCAAAUGCCACAUUUCAACCUGUUCUCAGUCCAAGAGGAAGGUGGCCACCAAACGCAUAAUUAGGAGAUCUGCUUAGAGAAGAAAAGCUGAACAACCCCCCCCCCGCCCUCAUGCCUCUGUGAAGGACCAAAGGCAGAUGAACAGAUUUAAAGGGAACACAUACCAGCUACAGAAAAAGAGGGAUGAACAUAUCACAAGCCUGGAAGUGGACAGGCUUCUGAUAACAAAUGGCAUCAUUUUUCAUGAGACAAGCAGAUCAAGUAAAUCCUUUUUUUUAAAGAAUAAGAACCUUAGUGGAGUGAAUUUUUCCCCACUCGUCAGAGAGAAAAGGAGACUUAGCUUUGGUUUCCCCUCACCCUUGAUCUCUUCUUUUUGUGAGCAGGGACAGAGGGCGGGCUGGCCGGCAGAUGUGAGCCAGUGGAGAUGCUAGCCUUACCACCCUCCAGAGGUUCUGCCCCUCGAAUGGCUUUUGUAAAGUACAUCUUUAAAUCUGGAGUAAAUUCCGUGCUCCUAUGGCUCUGGAGUCUACACCGUUCACUUGUUCUGGGUUCUGCUGUCUAAGUUCUGAUUGGACCACAAGCCCUGGGAAAUUUGACCCGCCUAUUAAAGGCCUUGCCUCAUGACAUUGUCCAUGGUGAUGUUCUGGGAAGCUUAGAAGGAGAGAAUAAAGGGGAAAUUGCUGAUUUAAUAUCUCGUAAC